GUGCUCACUUCAGCAGCACAUAUACUAAAAUUGGAAUGAUACAGAGAAGAUUAACAUGGUCCCUGUGCAAGGAUGACAUGCAAAUUUGUAAAGCAUUCCAUAUUUUU
ensembl:snRNA U6 U6 spliceosomal RNA